CUCGCUCUUAUAAGGAUGCGUGAUGGCAUUAGGCCCAGCGGGAUGUGCUUGGUUGUUUCCUCAAGUUUCUUCCUCUCUUCCUCCCUCCCUCCCCUUCUCUCUCUCCCUUUCUUUUAUAGCCACUGUGGACAACUUAAAAAAUUAAAAGCCGAGCUACCGCAUGAUCCCACAACCCACUGCCGGGCGUCCCUCACGGCUUGCACCUAGGGCGGAGUACUUCUCCUACCCAGGAGUUUCACAUGAAUAAUGACUGAUUCUGUUCAAUGAAACGUUAGCAGCAGUAAUGAUAACCAGAGCUGGGCUGGCAGAGAUAACCAUGGUCCUGGACAGCAGUGUGACUGGUGCAGGUGACCUGGAGGUGAUCUAGGUACAUGCAUCAGGAGACUUCCAAAGUCUGCACACACUGGCACACAAUUCAGUGCCUCCUAACCCUGCUGCUCCAGAAUCUCACCGUUAAGCCUACAGAUCCCUACACAAUCCCUUGCCUGGAUUUCUUUCUCCUGUUGAGUUUCCUGAAUCCUGAAAGUGUAACUGAGAUGUUCCCAAACUCAUCUUCAUGCAACAACUAAUGCAUGUGACACAGCUGAGGCAUGCCUGCUACCUGGGAUGAACUCUCUGAAGGCAGGCAUCAUUUUAUGUCAAUGAGGAGUUCAGGGUGGGCCACCCCAAAUAUGCUUCUCUGGCAUAUUGAUUAUUUUGAGCGGAAGGCUCUUGAGAAACAGCAGAUGCAGGAAGGUGUCUCUGAG